rnacentral:misc_RNA from 1 species
GAUGAAGAACGUAGCGAAAUGCGAUAAGUAAUGCGAAUUGCAGAAUUUCCGUGAGUCAUCGAAUCUUUGAACGCACAUUGCGCCCGCCAGUAUUCUGGCGGGCAUGCCUGUUCGAGCGUCAUUUCAACCCUCAAGCACAGCUUGGUGUUGGGACUCGCGUUAAUUCGCGUUCCUCAAAUUGAUUGGCGGUCACGUCGAGCUUCCAUAGCGUAGUAGUAAAACCCUCGUUACUGGUAAUCGUCGCGGCCACGCCGUUAAACCCCAACUUCUGAAUGUUGACCUCGGAUCAGGUAGGAAUACCCGCUGAACUUAAGCAUAUCAAUAAGCGGAGGA